UUCAAAUUGCUCUGACACACAGCAGAACCAAGGUCUCAGCCAUGCAGCGCUUGAAACAUAUCAGUGUGUGCUAGUGGGAGGUCUAUUUUGGGCAUGGACGUGUGAGAUUGCAUCAUAUUAUACGUAGGCCCAUGCACAUUGCUUUACCAAUGCCAGCAACCCAAAUAUCGCUCAAUAAGUGAACCUACUUGACUUCAAGAAACUCCUCCAGCAAGGAUGGCAAACGUAGCCUCGUUCUCAGGCAUAUCGGGACUAGAGGAUAUCAAGAAAGAGCAAAUCACGCUCUCCUGGUCCAGACCUUCAGAGAUCUUCUGCAGCCUGGAGAGCAUCUGGGCCAGUUUCUGCUGCCGCUCAGCCAGCUCGCCUCGACCAGAAAAGUCUACUCUGAACAGAGCCAUGAUGGAGUCGAUGAUCUGACAACAGGGAGGGGACAAGGAGACUGAAGGGAUGAGAAAGCUAAGAAAGAAUCCCUACUUUCAGAAUGUAUGCUGGUUUUUUAACAUAAGAAAAACAAGAAAGUGCUGAUUCUUGCCCUCCAAUAGCUUCACACAGAGAAUACCAAAAUAAAGGGUGGAAGUAAAACCACAAACAUGA